UUUAUUUGUUGAAAAUAUUGAAUGGAUGACUGGCCUUGUUUCCUUGAAGUAUCUUGGUAUGAAUUAUGUUAACCUUUCAUUGGUAGGAAGUCGGUGGGUUGAGGUGGCAAACAAGCUUCCAAGUUUAACUGAGUUGCAUCUAGGUGGUUGUAGCCUCUUUGGCUCAUUUCCAUCUCCAAGCUUUGCUAAUUUUACUUCACUUGUUGUUAUAGAUAUCAACAACAACCAAUUUGAUUCCAAGUUUCCUGAAUGGCUUUUAAAUGUUAGCAACCUUGUAUCCAUUGAUAUAAGUCAGAAUCUAUUACAUGGGAAAAUUCCACUUGGUCUUGGUGGGCUACCCAAUUUUCAUUACUUAGAUCUAUCUGGGAAUUUGAAUCUCAGGGGCAAUAUCUCUCAACUGUUGAGGAAGAGUUGGAAAAAGAUAGAAGUUCUAAAUUUGGCUCAUAAUGAAUUUUAUGGUAAGCUUCUUUGUGUUAUUAGAAAAAUUGACAUUUCUUUGUUGAUAUGUUAAUGUAUAGUUAAGUAUAGUUCACAAUUGUGUAUAUAAGUGUUGAAUAUGUAUCAAUAUACAAAUAUCAAAUAAUCACUAUAUUUGAUUCACUUGUUAGAAAAAAAAUUCUUCUUAGUUAAAAAAUAUAUUAUUUUGAAUUUUAAAUUUCUUAGAAGGAAAUUUAGUUUCUUUUUUUUAUCUACGAAAAAGUAUCUAGUUUAACAAUUUAUGCUUAUGAAGUAUCAAUGUUAUUUAACAAUUUUUUUGUGUAAAGGUAAGUGAUUAUAUGAAGUGUUUGUCUACAUAACUAUUAAAAAAAAAUUGUAUCUUAUAGGAAUAUGAUUUUUUUUUUUUAAUCCUUAACUUCCGUUUUUACUUUAAAUUAGUUGAUGAAUGAUUUAUUAUUUAUUAUUGUCAAUAAUUAUACAUUUGUUAUAUUAAUUAUUUUUUUAAUGUUUUCGUUUCAUUUUGAUAUAACUCUCAUUUUUUCUUUAGUUUUGCUCCUGAGGAUAUAAUAAUUUGAGCAUGUACUAAAUGGAAUAUUUAUAAGAUGGUUGAAUUGAUAUAUGAUGUGCUUUGUCACUUAUGUUUUAAUAUUUUACUAAAUUUUGUUAUUAAAUGUUUUCCAUUUUUUACUCUCAUGGUAUACCUUCUUUUAAACUAUUCUAUUACAAUUUUAUUCUAAAUUGUUAUGUUUAUUUAAAGUACUUCAUGUUCCUAUAAAAUUUAAAUAAUUAUAAUUUACUAUUCACUUAUAUUUGAAAAGCUUGUAACUAAUAAAUUAAAAAAAUCACAUUGUAUUAAAAUUUAAAAAUUUGUUUUCUUUGUAUCUCUAAAAAGAAUUAAAUUCCUAUUUUGACAAUUUAUGUUUGUUAAGAGUCUUUAUCAUCAAACACCCUUCAAUCAUCUCCUACAUAUUUUCAAUUUCUAUUUUCUCUCACUAAUUCAUCUAUUAUAUCAAAAUAUUAUACUAGGUUGAACUCCUACUUUUCUCUAGCUUUGUUCUUUAAUGGUACGUUCUACUUUCAAAAUAUUAUAUCUUUGUAGAUAGGAAUAAUUUUCUAUUCAAAUUUUCUAGGAGUUUGUAAAUAAAUAGAAUAACCACUUGGAACUAAAAUAAUUGUUUAGAAAAACUUUUUUUUUUUUGCAUUGCUAAAAUACAAAUUAUAUUUUUGGUAACUUGGAUUUAUUAAAAAAAAAAAUGUAAUUACUUUCUCAAUCUUUUGGUUUAUAUUUUCAUUUUCUAUAUUUUCUCAUUGAACUAUCACUUUGUUCAAAUUAUUUAAGUUUAUUGUUAAAGAAACAAUUAAUGUCAAUGAUUAAUCAUACUAGUCUUAUAACAGUGAAAUCAAUUACUUUAUUUCAUGGUUAUCAUAAAAGAAAAAAAAAGUACCUAAAAAAAAAUCCAAUAUUUUUUAUUACUUUUUCUUUAAAGUAAUUGUUCAUGAAUUAAUUUGUUUUGUUAUUUACUAUUUUUAUUAUUUGUUUGUUACAUAAUUUUAAUUAGUAUAUAUUUUUAUUCUUGGUCAUUGCAGGUUCAAUUCCAAGCUCCAUUGGAAACUUUUGCAACUUAAAAUAUCUGGAUUUGAGUUUUAAUCUCUUGAAUGGAAGUUUACCUAAGAUUAUCAAAGGACUUGAAACCUGCAGUUCUAAAAGUCCUUUGCCUAAUUUGACGGAAUUAUCCUUGUAUGACAAUCAAUUGAUGGGAAAAUUGCCGAAUUGGUUGGGUGAGCUUAAAAAUCUCAAGGCACUCGAUUUAUCCAAUAACAAAUUUGAAGGUCUCAUCCCUGCUUCUUUAGGGACAUUGCAACAUUUGGAGUUUCUGUCUCUUCUGGAGAAUGAGUUGAAUGGAAGUCUCCCAGAUAAUAUUGGACGACUUUCUCAACUGCAAUACUUGGAUGUUUCUUUCAAUCAUUUGAGUGGAAGUCUCCUGGAUAGUAUUGGACAACUUUCUCAACUGCAAGACUUGGAUGUUUCUUCCAAUCAUUUGAGUGGAAGUCUCCCGGAUAGUAUUGGACAACUUUCUCAACUGCAAGACUUGGAUGUUUCUUCCAAUCAUUUGAGUGGAAGUCUCCCAGAUAGUAUUGGACAACUUUCUCAACUGCAAGACUUGAAUGUUUCUUCCAAUCAUUUGAGUGGAAGUCUCCCAAAUAGUAUUGGACAACUUUCUCAACUGCAAGACUUGGAUGUUUCUUCCAAUCAUUUGAGUGGAAGUCUCUCUGAACAACAUUUUUUGAAGCUGAGUAAGUUGGAGUAUUUACAGAUGGGUUCCAAUUCUUUCCAUUUGAAUGUUAGUCCCAAUUGGGUUCCCCCUUUCCAGGUGAAUGAACUUGAUAUGGGUUCAUGCCACUUGGGUCCUUCAUUUCCGACUUGGCUUCAAUCUCAAAAGAACCUCGAGUAUCUUGAUUUCUCAAAUGACAGCAUUUCAAGUCCCAUUCCAAACUGGUUUUGGAAUAUUUCUUUUAAUCUGCAACAGUUGAAUCUUUCUCACAAUCAAUUACAAGGUCAACUACCAAAUUCAUUAAAUUUUUCUAUUGGCGGUGGUGCUUACAUCGAUUUCAGUUCCAACCUCUUUGAAGGACCUAUUCCUUUUUCAAUCAAAGGGGUCCCUUUUCUAGAUCUCUCCCAUAAUAAAUUUUCUGGCUUUUUUUCACCGAGCAGAGGUGAAUCCAUGUUAGGCUUGCAUGCCCUUCUGCUUUCAGAUAAUCAAAUAACAGGAUUCAUCCCUCUAAACAUAGGAAAAUCCAUACCAAACUUGUCUUAUCUUUCUCUUUCAAGUAAUCAAAUAACAGGGGUCAUCCCAUCAAACAUAGGCGAAUCCUUACCCAACUUGGUUUUCCUUUCUCUCUCGGGUAAUCGAAUAACAGGGACCAUCCCAGAUUCCAUAAGACGCAUCACCAAUCUUGAAGUCAUUGAUUUUUCAAGGAAUAAUUUGACUGGAAGCAUUCCUUCUACCAUAAAUAAUUGCUCUGGGCUUUUUGUUCUAGACCUUGGAAACAACAAUUUGUUUGGGAUGCUACCAAAGUCGUUGGGUCAGUUACAAUUGCUUCAAUCACUGCACUUGAACCACAACAAGCUUUCAGGAGAGUUCCCCUCAUCUUGGCAAAAUUUAACAGGUUUGGAUGUCCUUGAUCUCAGUUACAACAGAUUAUCGGGUCAGGUUCCUACUUGGAUUGGAGUUGCUUUCGUAAAUCUUGUAAUUCUCAACUUGAGGUCGAAUAUGUUUUCUGGAAGACUUCCUUCUCGACUUUCAAAUUUAAGCUCCCUGCAUGUCUUAGACCUUGCACAAAACAAUCUGAUGGGUGAAAUUCCAAUCACUUUGGUUGAGCUUAAAGCCAUGGCUCAAGAGCAAAUGAAUAUAUAUCAGUUAAGUGUGAAUGCCAACUCCUCGUAUACCAGCUCCUUGUAUGAAGAACGAUUGGUUGUGAUUGCCAAAGCCCAAAGUCUUGAAUAUACCAGGACUCUUUNNNNNNNNNNNNNNNNNNNNNNNNNNNNNNNNNNNNNNNNNNNNNNNNNNNNNNNNNNNNNNNNNNNNNNNNNNNNNNNNNNNNNNNNNNNNNNNNNNNNGGUAGUUUAACUAAUAGAUGACACAUUUUUCAUGCAGCAAAUGGAGCCGACUCAAUUGAAGCAUGAGGCUAAGCUGAAGGGUGGAUUUUACGUUGAUCCAGAGGUUAAACUUCUAUUUAUUAUUCGUAUCCGUGGGUAUGCACUUGGACUAUAGUUAUUUCCAUUGAUACCUUUACUUUCAUAUUAAUAUUCUGGUUCUCAUUCCUGUCCACUCUGGAACUUUCAGUAUCAAUGCUAUGCACCCGAAGACGAGAAAGAUUUUGCAGCUCUUGUGUUUGAGACAGGUUAGAUGUCAAACCAUUGCAUCUGGAAAUGAGAAAUAUAUGGCUGUUAUAAAUCUAAUACCAUGCUUUGUGCUUGACAGCGUUAAGUUUCUUCUCAUAUCUUAUAUAGAUAUUCCUCUUCAAAGGAUAUAGUGGGGUAGGGAAUUGGGGUUGAACACCAGGGUGCCCUUUUUAGGAGUAGUAUUGCUAGUUCUUGCAUUGUUAAUCAGAAUUGUUUUCUUACUGUAUCAGAUCAUAUAUAUAUAUGUAUGUAUGUAUGUAUAUUUGUUUCACCUCAGAAUCUGAUGCAUAUACCUUAGCACUGCUGCUGUGAUCAAAACUUUGGGCAGAUAGAAAUUGGUAUUAUCCGUAUUUUUUCUACGCUUUUGAUAGUAGACUCUGACAGUAGUGGCAGUAUUUACCAGCUAGCUAUGCCCAGGUACAAUGCGUGAUACUGUACCAUAUUGCUUCUGAGAUAGGUUAUGGAACUGUGGCCCAUUAGCAUUCAUAUCAUGUCCAUAAAACACGCUUGACACUCAAAUGGCAAAGACAAACUACAAUUUUCAUUAACCAAAAUAAAUUGUCUAGUGAGCAAAUAAUCUAGAUUGAAACGUUGAAAAUCAAUGCCUAACUAUAGUACUCAAGAAGCUGAAUUAAAUGUAUCGAGGAUCAAAUAUCCCAAACUUGUAUUCUUGAUGCUAUUUUGAUGGUGGAUGAUUAGUUCAUCUAACAAACUGCUUCCUUUGUGAUUGAACAUUGUUAGUUUUAUGUCAAAUGGAUUAGUUAUGCAUCAUCAAGGAGGAUAUAAUGUCUCUUAUCAUGAGCUUACUAAUCUAAGCAAGCUAUCCCAUUAGAAAAAUGGAGUGUUCUUUGAUGACAUAAGAUCUUCUCAUUCACUUCUUUGAAUACAGAUAUUCAAUGGGGUGUUUCUUAAAGUGAACAAAGCAACAAUGAACAUGUUGCACAGGGUUGAGCCUUAUGUGACUUAUGGGUAAGUAUCUCACUCUUUUGUUUUUCUUAAAAUCCUAUAAAAAGUCUAAACUUGUAUAUUAUUCAUUUCUAAUGUAUUUAUAUUGCAAAUAUUUUAGGUACCCCAAUUUGAAGAGUGUGCGAGAAUUGAUUUACAAGAGGGGGUAUGGAAAGUUGAACAAGCAGAGAACUGCCUUGACCGACAACUCCAUUGUGGAACAGGUUUUUAUGUCAUUCUGUAUCUUGGUUUUCUAUGAGCGAUUGUUUGCUUUAUCUUGUUGCUAACCUGCUUUUGUGAUGAUAGGCUUUGGGGAAGUUUGGUAUUAUUUGCAUGGAAGAUCUUAUUCAUGAGAUCAUGACUGUUGGACCUCAUUUUAAGGAGGCCAACAACUUCCUAUGGCCAUUUAAACUGAAGGCACCAUUGGGUGGUUUGGAGAAGAAGAGGAAUCACUACGUUGAAGGAGGAGAUGCUGGAAACUGUGAAAAUUACAUCAAUGAGCUCAUUAGAAGAAUGAACUAGACAGCUUGCGGUACUUUUGGCCUUUUCUUAUUGGAAGUUUGAUAUCUUUUGCUUCUUAUUAGCAAUGAUAAAGUUGGAGAAUUCUUUUUCGGGUCAUAAAUAUGAACAAAGUGUUGAGAAAUUUAAUUUGAUAUUUGUUUUUAGACUUUGAUAGUAGAUAACUUUAUUACCUCUUGGAAUUUUAUCAGCAUCCAUGGAAUUGAUCAACGAGUGAUUUUCUAUUAUAGUUGCUUACAUUCAAAUUUUUGUGUUGCAAGGUCAAAUUUAUAUAUGCUAGUUAAAUUUAUGUAUGCCACUUAACAACAUUUUCCAUAUGACCCUCUUAGAAUGAAAUCUACCUUUAACAAUCAAAUGUAUAUCUAUAUAUAUAUAUAUAUGUAUUUGCAUGUUUGUGUGUAGGAUAAAUUAUAAAUUUACCUUACAAUAUAUGGUGCUUCAAUUGAGUUUGUAAACCUUUUUUUUCUAGUAAGGUUAUUCAUUGUAUGUGUCAAAUCAACCUCUUUAUUAUGGUUUUUGGAGCAAAUUUGUUGGAAAACCUCUAUGUGAACACUUGAAUUCAUCUUCAUAUGAUAUGUUUGGAUGUCUAAAAACACAAUGUUUAGUAUUAGAUUGACACGAUUAAAGGUUUGUUUCAAUUUAGAUGGUUUUUGUUUUUUCUACGUAACUUUAAGUAGAACUCAAUUUCACUCUUAAUACAAUAUAAUAGUAUUAAGUUGAUUUUUUUUAUUAUUUUAUUUUUGUAAAGUGGUAAGUAUUAAUAGGGUGAGGCCAUGCUGAGAUCCUAUUUGGUUUGUUUUAAUAGUUAUUUUUAGUAUGUAUUAAAAAGCCAAAUAUUUUAACUUUUUUAUUUAUUUAGUCAAAAAAUUUUUAAAAAUGCAUAAUAAGUGAAAAAAAAGUUAAAAGAAAAUCAUAUAAAGUCUCGACAUUAUGUUAAAAAACAAACAAUACAAUAGUCUUUAAAUUUUUUUUCUGAUGUUAUGUUUAAAUCAUGUUCAAGUUUCAAAUGCAUGUUGUAUGUAAAGAUUUUUGGUCUAAACUUGUUUGACUAUCACACAUAUAUAAAAAUUUUAAUUUUUUAAAAUAAAAAUAUAUUAACUAUUUUCUAGUUUUAGAAAGAGAAAAAAGAAAAUGUAUUAAUUGUCUAUUUUUAAAAAUAGAAAGCAUAAAAUAUAUUUCCAAUACUAAUCACGAAAAAAUAAAAUAAAAUAAAAUCUAAUAGUAAAGAAAAAUGAGUAAUCUUAGAAUGAGUAUGGACGAGACAGACAAGAAAAGCUCGCCAUGGAGACAUUCUUAUUACAUAUUCCUAACCCAAAAAGGGAACAUAUGGAACCUCCUUUUUCUUCCAAUGCACCAACAACACAAAGAAACACAAAGAAUCCCCAUCAUUGAAUACGAGCCAUGGCAAACAUGAACAUUAAAUGGUGGUUUGACAAUAUUUUCAAAAAUAGGUUAUAAAAAAUAAAUUUUGAAAACGAUUUUUAUAAUUAUCUUUAGAAAUUAAAUUUUGUUGAGAAUUCAAAUAUGAAAUGAUUUUUCUCUAACUUAAUACUUGUUUCUACCACCGUCCGGGAUAUAUGUGUGUAUCUCUUUAAAAAUGAAAAAAAGAACAACUUUAGUGCCUAAAUUGGCUAAGUAAUGAUAUUGUAUAGGACAAAGAGAAGAUGACAGUUAUCGGGUGAACAGUUUUUUUGCCUCAAAUCUUUAAAGAUUUUAGAUGUUUUAUUAUUUUUAUUUUUUUUUAAAUUUAGCCUUAAUUCUUUAAAUUGAGUCUUAUUUUCAAGUAUGUAUAUGAAUAUACCAAUUAAAAAAUUUAAUUUUUAUUUGGAAUAUGAGCUUAGAAAUUGAAUGAUGUUUUUUCAUCAAUAUCGAUUGAGAUUUUAAACGAGUGUUAGACAUGUUUAGACCAUAGAUGAAAAAGAAAAGAAUAAUAGUAGAUUAGGUGCAAAAUUGUCUUGAUAUAAUGAUUAACCAAAGGAUGCUAUAUCUUCUUCUAUAUGGAAUUAAUUUUCCUUUAUUAUUAAUAUAUUUCACUAUUUUUAUUUUAAUUCUAUUUAAACAAAAAUAGUCGUGUGAACUAAAAUCGAUGUUCCUUUUGUUAUGGUGUUAUUUGACAAUUUUCUUUUAAUAUUAUUUUUAAAAAAGUUAUAAUGUAGGGUAAGACAUUUUGGUAAAGGUAAUAAUCAAUUCAUUUCUUGACCAGUUGAUUAUUUUCUUAUUAUUAAGAUGUAGAAUGAUCUGAAUAAGAAAAAGGACGUAGUCAAGGUCUUUUAUUUUAUUUUAUUAUUAUUUUUAAAAUUUUAGAGGAUGUUUUACUUGAACACAGUUUAACUUUUUGACUUGAUAACGUGAUCAACAUUGCAUAGAAAAUAAACUUCCUUUAUCAUCGGUCAUGAUCAAACAACGUGAUCUACAAUUCAUAUAAAAUUGAUGGGUCGUGAAAAAGAUAAGAUUUUUUUUUAAUUUUAGAGGAUGUUUUACUUAAUCAUGGAUUAACUUUUUGACUUGAUAAUGUGGUUAAUACUGCAUAUAAAAUAAAGUUCUUUUUAUCAUCGGUUAUGAUCAAACAACAUGGUUUACACUUCAUACAAAAUUGAUGUGUCAUGAAAAAAAUACAAACUAUCUUAAUUUGAUUUUAAAUAGUUAUUUAUUAUCUAUUGUGGUCAACACUAGAUAGAAAAUAAAGUUCAUUUAUCAUUGGUCAUGAUCAAACAACGUGGUUUAUACUUCAUACAAAAUUGAUGUGUCAUGAAAAAAAUAUAGACUAUCUUAAUUUGAUUUUAAAUAGUUAUUUAUUAUCUAUUGUGGUCAAUACUAGAUAGAAAAUAAAGUUCAUUUAUCAUCGGUCAUGAUCAAACAACAUGGUCUACAAUUCAAACAAAAUUGAUGGGUCAUGAAAAAGAUGCAAACUUUUAAAAAAUAAAGAUAAAUUUAGAGGAUGUUUUACUUGAACACGUAUUAACUUUUUGACUUGAUAACGUGACUAAUACUUGCAUAUAGAAUAAAGUUCUUUUAUCAUCGGUUAUGAUCAAACAACGUGGUUUACACUUCAUACAAAAUUGAUGUGUCAUGAAAAAGAUACAAACUAUCUUAAUUUGAUUUUAAAUAGUUAUUUAUUAUCUAUUUAACUUGACAAACUUUACCACGUGGUCUACACUUCAUGAAAAAUAAAUAUUCUUUAUUGUGGAUCAUGAUCGAGAAAAAAAUGGGCUGUUAUUAUUUGCUUUAAAUGGUUAUUCAUUGUCCAUGAUUAAAUCUAGGCAAAUGAAGUUAUUUCCUUGAACACGUAAUAAUCAAUUUAGAGGAUGUUUUACUUGAACACGUAAUAAUCAAUUCAUUUUUUGGCCGUUGAUUAUUUCCUUAUUUUUAAGAUGUAGAAUGAUCUGAAUAAGAAAAAGGACGUAGUCAAGGUCUUUUAUUUUAUUAUUAUUUUUAAAAUUUUAGAGGAUGUUUUACUUGAAGACGGUUUAGCUUUUUGACUUGAUAACGUGGUCAACACUGCAUAGAGAAUAAAUUUCCUUUAUCAUCGGUCAUGAUCAAACAAUGUGAUCUACAAUUCAUACAAAAUUGAUGGGUCGUGAAAAAGAUAAGAUUUUUUUUUUAUAUAACUUAUUAUUAUUAUUAUUAUUUAUCUUGUGUGGAUAACAUUUUUUAUGGACUUUAUUAUUGUUAUUAUUAUUAUUCAUAAUAAUUUUUCUUUCAUGAAUUUUUUAAAAUAUCAAUUGGAUUAGCUUUGAGUUUGAUGACUGUUUAGUAUUAAUUGGAUAGAUUUUGAGUUUCAAAUUAUUUUUGAAAACGAAUAAAUCCUAUAUUUUAAUAUUACUUGAUUUGGAAUCUAUUUGCUUGAUAAAUUUUUUUAGAUAAGUUAAAGAAAAUAAAAAAAAGAAUGUGUUAUUAAGAAAAAGAUCAUAUUUGAUGAUUUUUGGUAUGGUUGGUGAAGAGAAAAUGAAAAAAGAAAGAGAUCGUGUUUACUUUAUUUGUUUUUAUGAUUUUUUAAAUUAUUUUGAUUUCUUUAUGUUUUUCUUUUGCUUUUAAAAACAAGUGAACAAAAUUUUUAUUUGUUUUUUGGAAAUUGUUCUCUAUUUAACUUUGGUUUUAAAAAUUGUUUUCAAACAAAAAGGCCAAAUAAUGCUAUAAAUUUCUAAAUUACACCACCAAACAACCUUAUGGAUUUAAUACUAUUUUUGUAUGCUAAAUGAUCUCAGCUCUUAACUUAUUCCUAAUACCUUGAUUUACAUUUUUUGUUUCCUCCGAUUAAGAUUUUUUAGCGUUUAGAAUUAGCAUAAUUUUUUUUAAUUCAUAAAUGAAUUUUCAUGUUUAUCUUAAUCUUAUUGACCUUGAUUUAGUGCCAAGUCAUGGUCUUUCUAUCCACACCUUUUUUUAUUUUAUUUUAAUUUUUUUUCCUUUUUGUCCAAGUCAAGGUCUUCAGCACUUGGUUUUUGUGGUGAGGCAAAGACUCAAGUCAUUUUCCACUCAAUUAGAAUUUAAUAUGAUACAACUCAAAUAAUACUAAAAACAAAAAGAAGUGAGGCUAUCAUUGUCAUUGCUUUAAACCACCUUCUAUAUAUUUUGUUGAAUUGAAAAUGCAAGGGAAGCAAAGAAAGAAGUUUCAGGUAAGGAACUAAUAUUGAUAACUUAUUUUUAAUAUGCUUUUCUAUCUAAUCCUUCUAACUCUAAGUGAUUUCGGUUCUCGCUAGUCAAAGUAGGUUGAUAUUUGAGAUGAUUAUAAUUGUUUUUCUUAAUAUAUAUUUACAUAUGUUAUUAGUAGAUCUUUUUAGACUAGUGUCGUUUGUUAAAUGUGUUGUUUAAAAUAAGUUCUUCAUGUUGUGCAAUUGUCUUUUAGAUUUUGCCAAUGUUUUCCAUUUUAUGUUGGAAAUAAAAUUUUAAUUCAAUUCAAGAAAAUGCUGACUACAUAUUGGAAUUCAAUUUUUACAGGUGCUCCUUACUAGAGAAUUACAUAUUUACAUGGAGAAAAUUUCAAUUCUUGGUUUCAUUUUAGCUAUUCUCUAUUUCAUAACAGAACUUGCAUGUAAUGGUCAUACCCAUGUCGACAACAAUGUUCAAUCUAAACAAAAGGCUCUUAUUGACUUCAACAGUGGUCUCAAAGAUCCCAACAAUCGGCUUUCAUCAUGGAAAGGAAGCAAUUAUUGCUACUGGAAAGGAAUUAGUUGCGAAAAUAGCACAGGAUUUGUCAUUUCAAUUGAUCUUCAUAACCCUUAUCCUCGUGAGAAUGUAUAUGAGAAUUGGAGCUCUAUGAACUUGAGUGGAGAAAUUAGUCCUUCAUUGAUAAAACUCAAGUCUUUGAAAUAUCUAGAUUUGAGUUUCAACUCAUUCAAAGCCAUGCCAGUUCCUCAAUUCUUUGGGUCUCUGAAGAAUUUAAUAUAUCUAAACUUAUCGAGUGCUGGGUUUAGUGGAUCAAUUCCUUCAAAUUUAAGGAAUCUUUCUAGCUUGCAAUAUCUCGAUCUUUCUUCUGAGUAUCUUGACGAUAUUGAUUUUGAGUAUCUUUAUGAUAUUCAUUCUGAAUAUUUUAAUAAUUUAUUUGUUGAAAAUAUUGAAUGGAUGACUGACCUUGUUUCCUUGAAGUAUCUUGGUAUGAAUUAUGUUAACCUUUCAUUGGUAGGAAGUCGAUGGGUUGAGGUGGCAAACAAGCUUCCAAGUUUAACUGAGUUACAUCUAGGUGGUUGUAGCCUCUCUAGCUCAUUUCCAUCUCCAACCUUUGUUAAUCUUACUUCACUUGCUGUUAUAGCUAUCAACUCCAACUACUUCAAUUCCAAGUUUCCUGAAUGGCUUUUAAAUGUCAGCAACCUUGUAUCCAUUGAUAUAAGUGACAAUCAACUGCAUGGGAGAAUUCCACUUGGUCUUGGUGAGCUACCCAAUUUGCAAUACUUAGAUCUAUCUUUAAAUGUCA
rnacentral:lncRNA from 1 species